AGAAGUAAAAGUCGUAACAAGGUUUCCGUAGGUGAACCUGCGGAAGGAUCAUUACUGAGUGAGGGCCCCUCGGGGUCCAACCUCCCACCCGUGUUUAACGAACCUUGUUGCUUCGGCGGGCCCGCCUCACGGCCGCCGGGGGGCAUCUGCCCCCGGGCCCGCGCCCGCCGAAGCCACCUGUGAACGCUGUCUGAAGUAUGCAGUCUGAGACAAUUAUUAAAUUAAUUAAAACUUUCAACAACGGAUCUCUUGGUUCCG
rnacentral:misc_RNA from 1 species